UACGUAGGUGGCAAGCGUUGUCCGGAAUUAUUGGGCGUAAAGCGCGCGCAGGCGGUUUCUUAAGUCUGAUGUGAAAGCCCACGGCUUAACCGUGGAAGGUCAUUGGAAACUGGGAGACUUGAGUGCAGAAGAGAAGAGCGGAAUUCCACGUGUAGCGGUGAAAUGCGUAGAGAUGUGGAGAACACCAGUGGCGAAGGCGGCUCUUUGGUCUGUAACUGACGCUGGAGGCGCGAAAGCGUGGGGAUCAAACAGG
rnacentral:rRNA from 1 species